GACGAACGCUGACGGCGUGCUUAACACAUGCAAGUCGAACGGAAAGGCCCUGCUUUUGUGGGGUGCUCGAGUGGCGAACGGGUGAGUAACACGUGAGUAACCUGCCCUUGACUUUGGGAUAACUUCAGGAAACUGGGGCUAAUACCGGAUAGGAGCUCCUGCUGCAUGGUGGGGGUUGGAAAGUUUCGGCGGUUGGGGAUGGACUCGCGGCUUAUCAGCUUGUUGGUGGGGUAGUGGCUUACCAAGGCUUUGACGGGUAGCCGGCCUGAGAGGGUGACCGGCCACAUUGGGACUGAGAUACGGCCCAGACUCCUACGGGAGGCAGCAGUGGGGAAUAUUGCACAAUGGGCGGAAGCCUGAUGCAGCAACGCCGCGUGCGGGAUGACGGCCUUCGGGUUGUAAACCGCUUUCGCCUGUGACGAAGCGUGAGUGACGGUAAUGGGUAAAGAAGCACCGGCUAACUAC
rnacentral:rRNA from 1 species